rnacentral:rRNA from 1 species
GACGAACGCUGGCGGCGUGCCUAAUACAUGCAAGUCGAACGCAGUGGGGACUGGUGAGUAACACGUGGGCAACCUUCCAUCAGAGGGGAUAACACUUGGAAACAGGUGCUAUACCGAUACCGAUGGAUGGACUCGGGGUGCAUUAGCGAGUUGGUGAGGUAACGGCUCACCAAGGCCACGAUGCAUAGCCGGCCUUAUAGGGUCGUCGGCCACACUGGGCCUGAGGAACGGCCAUGACUCCUACUGGAGGCAGCAGUAGGGAAUUUUGGGCAAUGGACGAAAGUAUGACCCAGCAACACCGCUUGAGUGAAGAAGGUCUUCGGGUCGUAAAACUCUGUUGUUAGGGCAGCGGUACCUAACCAGUAAGCAACGGCUAACUGCGUGCCAGCAGCCGCGGUAAUAC